rnacentral:snRNA from 1 species
UCCGCGGCGAGAGCGGGU